rnacentral:misc_RNA from 1 species
UACGUAGGGGCCGAGCGUUGUCCGGAGUUAUUGGGCGUAAAGCGCGCGCAGGCGGCUUCGCGCGCCCGCCGUGAAAGCCCCCGGCUUAACCGGGGAGAGUCGGUGGGGACGGCGGAGCUUGAGGGCGGUAGAGGUUGGUGGAAUUCCCGGUGUAGUGGUGAAAUGCGUAGAGAUCGGGAGGAACACCUGUGGCGAAGGCGGCCGACUGGGCCGACCCUGACGCUGAGGCGCGAAGGCGUGGGGAGCGAACGGG